CGAAGGGAUGCAAGCGUUAUCCGGAUUCAUUGGGUUUAAAGGGUGCGUAGGCGGCCCGGUAAGUCAGUGGUGAAAGCCUGUUGCUUAACAACAGAACUGCCAUUGAUACUGCUGGGCUUGAGUACAGAUGCUGUGGGCGGAAUAUGACAUGUAGUGGUGAAAUACAUAGAGAUGUCAUAGAACACCGAUUGCGAAGGCAGCUCACAAAACUGUAACUGACGCUGAGGCACGAAAGUGCGGGGAUCAAACAGGAUUAGAUACCCUGGUAGUCCGUACCGUAAACGAUGAUUACUCGCUGCUAGAGGGCAACUUUUAGUGGCUUAGCGAAAGCGAUAAGUAAUCCACCUGGGAGUACGCCGGCAACGGUG
rnacentral:rRNA from 1 species